UACAGAGGUCUCAAGCGUUGUUCGGAUUCAUUGGGCGUAAAGGGUGCGUAGGUGGCGCGCUAAGUCGGGUGUGAAAUUUCGGAGCUUAACUCCGAAACUGCAUUUGAUACUGGCGUGCUUGAGGACUGGAGAGGAGACUGGAAUUCAUGGUGUAGCAGUGAAAUGCGUAGAGAUCAUGAGGAAGACCAGUGGCGAAGGCGGGUCUCUGGACAGUUCCUGACGCUGAGGCACGAAGGUCAGGGGAGCAAACGGG
rnacentral:rRNA from 1 species